rnacentral:lncRNA from 1 species
CUUUUAUAAACAAAAAUGCUGGAAACAGCUGCUGUUUUUUCUACAUGAGAGAUAAGGAAGAUGGCUGUCUCAGGCCUUGUCCACCAAAUAUAAUCUCUCUAACUCUGUUCCUCUCAAACCAAACAGGUUCCAGUACCUGGAGGAGGUGAGCAAGGCUGUGGGUGCUGAUGGGAUCUUAAAGAACAGAGCUGUACAGACAAGAGUCAAGGCACGGAAAGAUUUAACCCAAACUACUGAAGUUGGGAGCACUUCUGAUAUGGCAAAAAGGAGACACCUAUAAAAUAAAAUGUGGAUUCUUUAUCAGCUGAACUACCAAGGAAGCCCUAUAGACAUACCGCAUCUUCAUCCAUUCAUCUGUUGAUGAACACCUAGGCUGCUUCCAUGCCCUGGCUACUGUAAAUAGUGCUGCAAUGAACAUUCAGGUACUUGUGUGUUUUUGAAUUAUGGUAUUCUCGGGGUAAAUGCCCAGUAGUGAAAUGCUGGGUCAUGUGGUAGUUUUAUUCC